GACGAACGCUGGCGGCGUGCCUAAUACAUGCAAGUUGAGCGCUGAAGGUUGGUACUUGUACCCACUGGAUGAGCAGCUAACGGGUGAGUAACGCGUGGGGAAUCUGCCUUUGAGCGGGGGACAACAUUUGGAAACGAAUGCUAAUACCGCAUAAAAACUUUAAACACAAGUUUUAAGUUUGAAAGAUGCAAUUGCAUCACUCAAAGAUGAUCCCGCGUUGUAUUAGCUAGUUGGUGAGGUAAAGGCUCGCCAAGGCGAUGAUACAUAGCCGACCUGAGAGGGGGAUCGGCCACAUUGGGAAUGAGACACGGCACAAACUCCUACGGGAGGGAGCAGUAGGGAAUCUUCGGAAAAGGACGAAAGUCUGACCGAGCAACGCCGCGUGAGUGAAGAAGGUUUUCGGAUCGUAAAACUCUGUUGGUAGAGAAGAAAGUUGGUGAGAGUGGAAAGCUCAUCAAGUGACGGUAACUACCCAGAAAGGGACGGCUAACUACGUG
rnacentral:rRNA from 1 species